GAAGAUUCCUGGGAACUGUAGUUUGUUAAGGAUACUGGGAAGUAUAGCUUUUAAGGGCCAGCAUCCUCAACAAACUACAGUUCCCAGGAAUUUC